ACGCUCGACACCUACUGGAGGCAGCAGUGGGGAAUAUUGCACAAUGGGGGAAACCCUGAUGCAGCGACGCCGCGUGAAGGAAGAAGUAUUUCGGUAUGUAAACUUCUAUCAGCAGGGAAGAAAAUGACGGUACCUGACUAAGAAGCCCCGGCUAACUACGUGCCAGCAGCCGCGGUAAUCUGAGCGGGCUGGCAAGGC
rnacentral:rRNA from 1 species